ACAACAACAUUCGGACCGUCGGUCUACCGAGCAAUAUCACCCGCUCGGUGGAAGAUCUUCCCUUUGUCGUAUAUC
rnacentral:pre_miRNA from 1 species